rnacentral:rRNA from 1 species
CAGAUAAUCGGCGUAAAGAGUGGUUAAGUAAUACAUUUCACUAAAGCCAAACACCUUCAAAGCUGUUAUACGCACCCGAAGAUCAGAAGCCCAAUCACGAAAGUGGCUUUAAACCAACUGAACCCACGAAAGCUAGGGCACAAACUGGGAUUAGAUACCCCACUAUGCCUAGCCUUAAACAUUGAUGAUAUCUUACAAUUGUCAUCCGCCUGGGAACUACGAGCAUCAGCUUAAAACCCAAAGGACUUGGCGGUGCUUUAGACCCACCUAGAGGAGCCUGUUCUAGAACCGAUAACCCCCGUUCAACCUCACCCUUCCUUGUUCUUCCCGCCUAUAUACCACCGUCGUCAGCUUACCCUGUGAAGGAUUAACAGUAAGCAAAACUGGCAAAGCCCAAAACGUCAGGUCGAGGUGUAGCGUAUGGAGGGGAAAGAAAUGGGCUACAUUCACUAAUUCAGUGCACACGAAUGACACCCUGAAACACGUGUCUGAAGGAGGAUUUAGCAGUAAGCAGAAAAUAGAGUGUUCUGCUGAAACUGGCCCUGAAGCGCGCACACACCGCCCGUCACUCUCCCCGAGCUAAGAUUCUCAAGUAAGUAAACACCUAUAACUGCAA